CAGUCGAACGGAGCACCCCUGAAGGAGUUUUCGGACAACGGAAGGGAAUGCUUAGUGGUUUACUGGUGAGUAACGCGUGAGGAACCUGCCUUUCGGAGGGGGACAACAGUUGGAAACGACUGCUAAUACCGCAUGACGUAUCGGGAUCGCAUGGUCUUGAUACCAAAGAUUUUAUCGCCGAAAGAUGGCCUCGCGUCUGAUUAGCUAGUUGGUGGGGUAACGGCCUACCAAGGCGACGAUCAGUAGCCGGACUGAGAGGUUGGCCGGCCACAUUGGGACUGAGAUACGGCCCAGACUCCUACGGGAGGCAGCAGUGGGGAAUAUUGGGCAAUGGACGCAAGUCUGACCCAGCAACGCCGCGUGAAGGAAGAAGGCUUUCGGGUUGUAAACUUCUUUUAAGGGGGAAGAGCAGAAGACGGUACCCCUUGAAUAAGCCACGGCUAACUACGUGCCAGCAGCCGCGGUAAUACGUAGGUGGCAAGCGUUGUCCGGAUUUACUGGGUGUAAAGGGCGUGCAGCCGGAGAGACAAGUCAGAUGUGAAAUCCACAGGCUCAACCUGUGAACUGCAUUUGAAACUGUUUCCCUUGAGUAUCGGAGAGGUCAUCGGAAUUCCUAGUGUAGCGGUGAAAUGCGUAGAUAUUAGGAAGAACACCAGUGGCGAAGGCGGAUGACUGGACGACAACUGACGGUGAGGCGCGAAAGCGUGNGGAGCAAACAGGAUUAGAUACCCUGGUAGUCNACGCUGUAAACGAUCAAUAC
rnacentral:rRNA from 1 species